GUAAGUAAGCUAAGAUGUUUUUUAUCCGGUGAGAAUCAGUGUGAUGCCAGCUGGUGCCCCAGUGUAUGUGAAACGUAUCUGCUUUGUCCUACUUCUCCCUUUAAUCCCUCUCUUGUCUGUAGGAAUUUUGUCCUGUCUACAGUCAGCUUGAGGGUGGUACAUGUGAAUGCACAGGGCGGUGUGACGAAGCCGCUACUGCGAAAGCAUUGCGAGGCACUGCACGCUGUGGCCUGUCACCCCCAGCAACCAGUUGUUGCCUUGGGCAGCACAGUGGCAUCCUGAAGGUGUGGGACUAUGAGCGCAAGGUGUCCAUCUGCAGCAGGGUCUUUGAGAAGGAGAGGCAGAUUCAGUGUAUCGCCUAUGACCCCCAAGGUGACCCAGCAGGCCAGAGGCUUUUGUCAGUUUAAUUUCCUAUAAGUAAAUCUAUAUGCAUACAUAGAAAGAUCUCACAUUGAUAUUCUCACAAUUGAUUUGUGGUAUACGGAGAACUCCCCUUAAAAACAACAUGUUCUCUGUCUGUGUUUGUGUGAGUUGGCUCAGCUUGGACCAGGCUAUCCUGUGUGUCAGUGAACAGGAUUAUACCUGGCGGUUGGAUUUGCAAGUGGAGCUGUCCAUGUACUGGAUGCUUGCACAUAGCAGAGUAAGGCAGAGGAGCGACUCAACUACAGCCAAGACUGCAUCACUCACAUUACCUUCUCUCCAGACUCCCUCUACCUGGCCACAGCAGUGAGCAGACACUAUGUGGUUCUGGCAUUGGGAUUGGAAAGUAACAGGUUUGAGCCCUCUACCUUGAAGCAUUAUAAUCAAACUGAAGCUAACAAAUUGCACAUUUCCCUCGUGUUUUGUUGCUACUGUCGGGAUGCUGGAAAAGCGGAAAUGGUGUUUGGCUUAUACACUGGUAGGAGCGUGCAGUGCUGGAAGUACCUGGUGAGGCAUCACUCCUACUAUAAGCCCAUCAGCGACUUCCUAUUUUGGGUGUACCUGGACAGCACCCAACCCAGACUAUUCUCCCUGGGCAUGGACCAGACCCUCACACUUAGUAGGGCUCGGGUUUACUUACAUGCAGUGGUUCUUUACUUGCUGAACCACUAGGCAUGCUGAAUCACGUUGGAUGACUUUGCCUUGGUAUGUGGUGGUGAUUGAUUAGGUGGAGUAUGACCUGGAGAAUAGCAAUGAGAAUGAGCUGCUGAUCCUGAGCGCAUUGAGCAGAGCGUCGGGCCCACCUGUGUGGCUUGGUGCACACCCCUCACCACAGAGGAUUUCCUGCUCACCGCCUCUGGCCUCUACAAAAUGAAGCUUUUCAACAGCAUCACCAAGAUGUGCAGGUGGAUCUCGAGAUUCUGCCCAUUGAUGGGAACCCCCAAGUCCUCUGCUCUGAUUUGCCACCCAACAGGGGUAUCUGCUAUGGCCUACUCCAAUGACGUUCUAUAUGUCUUCACUGCUGGGGGUCUGACUGAAGUCCUCUCAUGGUAGAUUAGUUUAAAGAAAUGGAGGACUUUUUCUAUUACUGUCAGCUGCGUAAACAAGGCAUUGACUCCAUGGAGAUCCGACAGGUGUCCCCCCGAAUCCCACUAGCAAAGGUCCCCUUUAUCAUAAGGGCUCUGGGCUUCUUCCCCAUUGAGCAAGAGCGGAACACAUCAGAGGACAAGCUGGCAGAAUUUUUCACCACACUGGUAGGACUGAAUCCAGAGAGGGGGAGAUCUGAGCUGGAAGCCAUUGAAUGUGAUGGAACAGGGUGAGUCCUUAUCAAACUCACCUCCUCCUGCUCCUCCGAAUCAAUUACCGUCCUGUCCGUCGGGGCCCAGAGGAGAUCCCUCCCUCUAGGCACCACAGCGCUGUCAGGUUGUGGCCGCCGGCUCCUUGGGUGUUGUGGGGGACCCUUAGUCUGGGGUCGAGGCUCCCUUUCUUCUGUUCCACCCCAGGGCUUCCGUGGCUACCAUGGCCACUACCUGGGGGGUAGUCUCUACUCGUUUCGCUACCAGCAGGUUGCGGGAGGACCACAGUGCUUCCUUCAGACAUGUGAGGGUGGGCCAGAGCUUGGUGAAGGCCCUUGGUGGAAUAGGCCUUCGGCCCACCCCAUACAGCAGUCAGUCGAGGGCACGCGGAUGUCCUCGCCAUGCCCCGGGAGUGCAUAACGGCCCUGACUUGGAGGAUCUCGUGGGAGACCAUCUAGGGCAGGUCCCGGUGCCAAUUCAGCAGUGCAAGAUGGGCCACAUUGCGCCAAACCGUUGUGGGCUCACCUAUAGUAAGCCUGCGCACUGUACACACUGGUUCCCGCUCCUGCACAAGAGAGAGAAGAGAGCGGUGUUUGGUUAAAACCGUGACUGCUUCUUUUUCCAGUUUAAAAUGUCUUAACUUCUGGAGCUGGACAUAGUGUGUGGGGAGCAGAAAAGAGACUGGGGCUCGCAGGUCGACUGGGAUCAGCUUCAGGGUUCUGAGGUAAGAUCCCAGGCAGAACCGUGCUAGGGCCUGGGUCUUGUUGUUGAACGGGGAGGUGGCAAGAGUGAGAUGUAAAUCAUGACGGGGAGGUGGCAAGAGUGCUGUAAAAGACUCAUGGGAAGUAUCUAGUUCAUGAAGCACACACAUACAGAAUACAGGUUUCCUCAUGGGUGCAGUUUGAUGUGACCUUUAAUUGGCUAUGAUUGGCUAAUAAAGAUCAAUUGAAUACAGCAUAUGUUAUGA